rnacentral:rRNA from 1 species
UACGAAGGGGGCUAGCGUUGCUCGGAAUCACUGGGCGUAAAGCGCACGUAGGCGGACUCUUAAGUCGGUGGUGAAAUCCUGGAGCUCAACUCCAGAACUGCCUUCGAUACUGAGAGUCUCGAGUCCGAGAGAGGUGAGUGGAACUGCGAGUGUAGAGGUGAAAUUCGUAGAUAUUCGCAAGAACACCAGUGGCGAAGGCGGUUCUCUGGGACGGUACUGACGCUGAGACGCGAAAGCGUGGGGAGCGAACAGG